rnacentral:rRNA from 1 species
UACGUAGGGGGCAAGCGUUUGUCCGGAUUUAUUGGGCGUAAAGAGCGUGUAGGCGGCCUUACAGGUCAGCUGUGAAAACUCGAGGCUCAACCUCGAGACGUCGGUUGAAACCGUAAGGCUAGAGUGCGGAAGAGGCGAGUGGAAUUCCUGGUGUAGCGGUGAAAUGCGCAGAUAUCAGGAGGAACACCGAGUCGAAGGCAGCUCUGGGCCGUAUGA